GCGACAAGACCUGGAGAUAUCAGAAGUGAGAAUGCUGACAUGAGUAGCGACAAAGAGUGUGAGAGACACUCUCGCCGAAAGUCCAAGGGUUCCUGCUUAAAGCUAAUCUGAGCAGGGUGAGCCGACCCCUAAGGCGAGGCCGAGAGGCGUAGUCGAUGGGAACCGGGUUAAUACUCCCGGGCCAGGAGGACGUGACGGAUCGCAGGUGUAGUGAGGCCUUAUCGGAUUGGCCUUGCUGCUGAGCGGUCCCUGGAAAUAGCCCUCCGCGAGAUCGUACCCUAAACCGACACAGGUGGACUGGUAGAGAAUACCAAGGCGCUUGAGAGAACCACAUCAAAGGAACUCGGCAAAAUACCUCCGUAAGUUCGCGA
rnacentral:rRNA from 1 species